rnacentral:rRNA from 1 species
AGUCGAGCGAACGGACGAGAAGCUUGCUUCUCUGAUGUUAGCGGCGGACGGGUGAGUAACACGUGGAUAACCUACCUAUAAGACUGGGAUAACUUCGGGAAACCGGAGCUAAUACCGGAUAAUAUUUUGAACCGCAUGGUUCAAAAGUGAAAGACGGUCUUGCUGUCACCUAUAGAUGGAUCCGCGCUGCAUUAGCUAGUUGGUAAGGUAACGGCUUACCAAGGCAACGAUGCAUAGCCGACCUGAGAGGGUGAUCGGCCACACUGGAACUGAGACACGGUCCAGACUCCUACGGGAGGCAGCAGUAGGGAAUCUUCCGCAAUGGGCGAAAGCCUGACGGAGCAACGCCGCGUGAGUGAUGAAGGUCUUCGGAUCGUAAAACUCUGUUAUUAGGGAAGAACAUAUGUGUAAGUAACUGUGCACAUCUUGACGGUACCUAAUCAGAAAGCCACGGCUAACUACGUGCCAGCAGCCGCGGUAAUACGUAGGUGGCAAGCGUUAUCCGGAAUUAUUGGGCGUAAAGCGCGCGUAGGCGGUUUUUUAAGUCUGAUGUGAAAGCCCACGGCUCAACCGUGGAGGGUCAUUGGAAACUGGAAAACUUGAGUGCAGAAGAGGAAAGUGGAAUUCCAUGUGUAGCGGUGAAAUGCGCAGAGAUAUGGAGGAACACCAGUGGCGAAGGCGACUUUCCGGUCUGUAACUGACGCUGAUGUGCGA